rnacentral:rRNA from 1 species
UACGUAGGGUGCGAGCGUUGUCCGGAAUUAUUGGGCGUAAAGGGCUCGUAGGCGGUUUGUCGCGUCGGGAGUGAAAUCAUCUGGCUUAACUGGGAGCUUGCUUUCGAUACGGGCAGACUAGAGGUAUGCAGGGGAGAACGGAAUUCCUGGUGUAGCGGUGAAAUGCGCAGAUAUCAGGAGGAACACCGGUGGCGAAGGCGGUUCUCUGGGCAUGACCUGACGCUGAGGAGCGAAAGUGUGGGGAGCGAACAGG